rnacentral:lncRNA from 1 species
CUUCAUCCUGCACAUGAUCGUGAAUGAACACCCAGAUUUUACCAUUACAAUUGUAAUUAACAUAGUUCAUUCCCAAGCUCCUAUUGUACUUGUGAAUUUGUCUCCUAUCUUGAAAAAGGUUCUAUUAAUACAAUAAUUAAAAAAUUUAUGAAAUAUGUGAAGCAUUUAUAUUUCGUGGAAUGAAUUCUGAGUUCUUACAGAUCUCAAAUUUCAAAAUAAUGCUUUCAUCUUCAUUUUUAUUAGUUUUGCACUCAUUUUUGGAUUUGUCCUAGUAGGAAUGUUGUUCACCUUGCUUUUACCCUUGUUAGAUUUGCUCGC